rnacentral:tRNA from 1 species
GAGGGUAUAGCUCAGUGGUAGAGCGUGUGCUUAGAAAGCAUGAGGUCCUGGGUUCACCCCCCAGCACCUCCA